rnacentral:rRNA from 1 species
GAGAUGUUGGGUUAAGUCCCGCAACGAGCGCAACCCUUAAGCUUAGUUGCCAUCAUUAAGUUGGGCACUCUAGGUUGACUGCCGGUGACAAACCGGAGGAAGGUGGGGAUGACGUCAAAUCAUCAUGCCCCUUAUGAUUUGGGCUACACACGUGCUACAAUGGAUAAUACAAAGGGCAGCGAAUCCGCGAGGCCAAGCAAAUCCCAUAAAAUUAUUCUCAGUUCGGAUUGUAGUCUGCAACUCGACUACAUGAAGCUGGAAUCGCUAGUAAUCGUAGAUCAGCAUGCUACGGUGAAUACGUUCCCGGGUCUUGUACACACCGCCCGUCACACCACGAGAGUUUGUAACACCCGAAGCCGGUGGAGUAACCUUUUAGGAGCUAGCCGUCGAAGGUGGGACAAAUGAUUGGGGUGAAGUCGUAACAAGGUAGCCGUAUCGGAAGGUGCGGCUGGAUCACCUCCUUU